AUAACAUAAUUUCAAUAAUUGCUAGCAGCACAGUUAGUCACCAACAUUUUUAACAUACAUGUAAAGAGCCUAACCAGCUCUGCGAGACUAAUCCUGCUGCUGAUGACGAGGAUGAUGAUGAUGAUGACCUUGACACCAGAUGUAGUAGCACUAGCGGUUCUGGGGGGGGGGGGCAGUGCCCCUGUGACAACAAUUUUGGACCCCCUUGUGGCCCCUCUAAAUGUGGAGAGACCUGCAGUGCAUAAAUCUUCUGCAAGAGGUCGAAGAAGUGGGUUGUGAAGAACAUCGCCAUAGCACAAAAGCCUGCUAAACCAGCUGCUACUACCCAACACAAGAGAAUCACCUGCUGAAGAACAUUCAACCAAGACUACAUCCACAUUCAAUUGAACUGAUGUUGUAGUAUUAUAUACAGUAGAAUAGCUAAUAUGGUCACAACUGUAUUGUCG
rnacentral:lncRNA from 1 species